UACGGGGGGGGCAAGCGUUGUUCGGAAUUACUGGGCGUAAAGGGUUCGUAGGUGGCUCGCUAAGUCAGACGUGAAAUCCCUCAGCUUAACUGGGGAACUGCGUCUGAGACUGGCAAGCUCGAGUGCAGGAGAGGAACGCGGAAUUCCAGGUGUAGCGGUGAAAUGCGUAGAUAUCUGGAGGAACACCGGUGGCGAAGGCGGCUUUCUGGACAGAAACUGACGCUGAUGCGCGAAAGCUAGGGGAGCAAACAGG
rnacentral:rRNA from 1 species